rnacentral:rRNA from 1 species
UACGUAGGUGGCAAGCGUUGUCCGGAUUUACUGGGCGUAAAGAGCGCGCAGGCGGUCGAUCAAGUCGCGUGUGAAAGCCCCCGGCUCAACUGGGGAGGGUCACGCGAUACUGAUCGACUCGAAGGCAGGAGAGGGUAGUGGAAUUCCCGGUGUAGCGGUGAAAUGCGCAGAUAUCAGGAGGAACACCGGUGGCGAAGGCGGAUCUCUGGGCCUUACCUGACGCUGAGGCGCGAAAGCUAGGGGAGCGAACAGG